CGAGCGCUCAGUGGGCCUC
rnacentral:miRNA from 1 species